GUUGAUUAUAUUUUUUAUUUUUUUUUCUUGCAUGUUUUUUUUUUUUUUUGUUAGUCUUAUUUUAUAGUUUUCUAUUUGUUUGACUCUGUGUCUUGUUGUUUUUUCGGUUUUAUUUUGUUAACUCUUAGGGAAAGAGUAAAUACCAAGUGAAGAUUGUUCAAUCAACUGAUCUGUUCGAAGACAUAAUUAGGAAAAGGGUUGUCAAGGAUGGGAAUCCAAGUACACCCGAUCGAAAUACUACCAUUCCAAAGUUUUUUUAUGCUUGUUUUUUUUUAUAUUAUGCAGUUUUUUUGUGUUGUUUUAGUAGUGUUUUCUUAUGUUUUUUUUUUAUAGGAUUGUUGUUGAUUUAGUAAUUUUUUCUCUUUGCCAGAUUUUAUGGUUUUUUCCUGGUGUUUCUAUGAUUCUGGUGUUGAUUUGUCCGUCCCCAACCACGAAGGAGGUGCCGUUUGUGCUUUAUUAAUGUUAACAGUAUAAAAGUAAAUAUUUUAGGUCUGGACAGUAUGAAAGAAAAAAAAAGGGGCUUAGACAGUAAAAAAGAAAUUAUUGCCGUGUGGCAGUAUUAUUGUAAAACUUGGGGAAAAAAACAGUAUUUUUGUAAGUUUCCCAUCAUUAUUCAUUACAGUGUAUUUCCAAUACAAUCUGGGACGUGGGCCACCACUAACGGCCCCUGAAAGUGUUAUAGGCUUGUGGUCCAAUGGGCUUCACUUUCAGCUCUAUAAGAGAUUUUUCCUUUCAAAACUUCAAAACUUGAAACAGGAUUUUUUUUCUUA